GUAGGUGGCAAGCGUUGUCCGGAAUUAUUGGGCGUAAAGCGCGCGCAGGCGGUUCUUUAAGUCUGAUGUGAAAGCCCACGGCUCAACCGUGGAGGGUCAUUGGAAACUGGAGAACUUGAGUACAGAAGAGGAAAGCGGAAUUCCACGUGUAGCGGUGAAAUGCGUAGAGAUGUGGAGGAACACCAGUGGCGAAGGCGGCUUUCUGGUCUGUAACUGACGCUGAGGCGCGAAAGCGUGGGGAGCAAACAGGAUUAGAUACCCUGGUAGUCCACGCCGUAAACGAUGAGUGCUAAGUGUUAGGGGGGUUUUCCGCCCCCCUUAGUGCUGCAGCUAACGCAUUAAGCACUCCGCCCUGGGAGUACGGCCGCAAGGCUG
rnacentral:rRNA from 1 species